rnacentral:rRNA from 1 species
CUAAAAAGUUAAUACAACUUUCGACAACGGAUCUCUUGGCUCUCGCAUCGAUGAAGAACGCAGCGAAAUGCGAUAAGUAAUGUGAAUUGCAGAAUUCAGUGAAUCAUCGAAUCUUUGAACGCACCUUGCGCCCUUUGGUAUUCCGAGGGGCAUGCCUGUUUGAGUGUCAUUAAAUACCAU